GACGAACGCUGGCGGCGUGCUUAACACAUGCAAGUCGAACGGAAAGGCCCGGCAGUUGCGGGGGGCUCGAGUGGCGAUCGGGUCAGUAACACGUGUGUAACCUGCCCUUGACUUUGGGAGGACUUUAGGAAACUGGGGCUAAUACCGGAUAGGAGCUCCCGCUGCAGGGUGGGCGUUGGACAGAUUCGGCGGUUGGGGAUGGACUCGCCGACUAUCAGCUUGUUGGUUGGGUAGUGGCUUACCAAGGCUUGGACGGGUAGGCGGCCUGGGAGGGUCAGCCGCCACAUUGGGCCUGAGAUGAGGCCCAGCCUCGACUGGGACGGAGGGGUGGAGAAGAGUACAUAAUGGGAGGAAGCCUGAUGCAGCACAGCCGCGCGGGGGAUGACGGGCUUCGGGUUGUAAACCGCUUUCGUCUGGGACGAAGCGUGAGUGACGGUAACGGGUAAAGAAGCCCCGGCUAACUACGUG
rnacentral:rRNA from 1 species